rnacentral:miRNA from 15 species
CGGUCUAUCUUUGUUUAGACUGA